UUGAGCGAAGCUUGGUGUGUCGAGGUGCUUCCGCAACGGCUACUCGAAACUCGCGUUUCAAGCAGCGCCAAUGCCGCUACUUGUCGCCGUCCCCGGUGACACGUGUGCGCGUGCGAAUAAUAACCACCUACACGUUCGUACAUCCCGGAGAUAACUAUUGUCGUCCCGGUCUCGGGGUGUAAUGCUCUAUUGUGAAUUGGUCACAGUGACGUAUCGCCUGUCGUCAGGAAAACGACGACGAGAGCCACGUCGGGAAAGGUGGAUAUGUACGUCGAUCGGAAGUUGAUCGAGAACGAAAGCGUUUGGUCGAAAAGGUUCGAGGAUAGAGAGUAAUGGUUCGAUUAUUGGACGAAAGGAGAGAAGAAGGAAAAAAAGUAAAAGGUCGAUAGGUGCGGGUCGCUCGCAUUUCCUGUAAAUUGCGGAUUUAUCGGCGCUCGGGCGAAACGUUUCACCGCUCGCCGAUGCUCGAUAACGCCGCGGUGACAGCGGAAUGUCCCGGCCAAAAUGAAUCCAGCGAGUACACGCGAGACGCAUAUGCGGGAAACGUAUUCCCCUGUGUGUUUUGUUUUUCGCGGUCGUGGCUGGAAUAUCGGAUAUAGGCAGUGGCGUAGGGCGAAAGGAGGCCGACAUGCCUCGAGGAUUCGCGCCACGCAGCGCCGCGCCGCUCCACUCCCCCAGAAACAGGAAGACGUCUCCGCUGACGGUGUACCGGCGUUCGUUAUCGUGACAUUCCUACUAAUGUAACCGUGUAACCUACGACGUAUGAAGAUGGACGGGUAUGCGCGACGUCGCGCCACGCCGCACCGUGUUAAAUAUUCUUUCUGCGGGCAUCCCAUUCCCUACCCUACCCCGCGUUAAAUAUUCUUGCAUAUUCCGUAGACGCGACGCGCACGCGCGUUACCCGCGAUUUUAUCUUCGUUAUCGCGAUUCGACGAACGCGGUCCAAAUCUCUCCCUUUCUCUUCGUAACGGGACAAGGAUAUUAAGCAAGGUUUUCAUCGGUUUCUCCAAAAUAUAUAUAUAUAUAUAUUUUAUGCCUCGUGGAUAGAUCUUGAUCGCCGUUCUAUCCGAUUAUAUUGCUGCGGCCUGAUCGUAAUUAAUUGGCCGUUGUUAUUAAAUUAUCGCCAACGAUAAUUAUGAAAAUUCAUGGAAAUAAAUAUUCAUAAGGGAAAAGGCGCAAACGAUCUUUGCGAACAGCUAUCGAAAACGUUAAAUGCUAAACGAUGUAAUUAAUACGUAUCGAUCUAAAAUAAAACGAUGAGAAGAAA